ensembl:lncRNA
AGAGUGAGUAACACAAGGAGAACCAGAGGGAACCUGUACUUACAGUACGCUGUGUUCAGCCCAGAGGUGAGAGCCAUUCAAAGCAAACUAACUGUGCUAUUGUGCCCAAGUUGAUAUCUGUGGAGAGAAAAGGAAAGAGAGAGUGAGUAACACAAGGAGAAACAGAGGAAACCUGUACUUACGCCGCUGCCUGUGGAGAAAGAGAAAGCGACCGUUGCCUGUGGAGAAAGAGAAAGAGAGUGAGCACCUCGAGAACGAACUGUGUGAACCAGUACUUACCGUGAGCUGUAUUCAGCGAAGAGGAGGAAGAAGGAGGGCGCUACGGAUACCUAAGACUCAGGCCGGGGCCCGAGUCCCACGCCCCGGAUCCCCGUGGCCCCCUUGCUCCCUGACCUCUUCCCGGCCAUAGCCCAUCUGGAGGGCCGAGUCAGAGUUUAGUUUUAAUUGCCCUU